rnacentral:lncRNA from 1 species
UCAGGCUUAUGGUGAAGGCUCUGGUGCUGACUGUAGACGCCAUGUCCAAAAGUUAAAUCUACUACAGGGACAAGUUUCAGAGCUGCCACUCAGGUCUCUAGAAGAAACUGUCAGUGCCAGUGAAGAAGAAAACGUGGGACACCAGCAGGCUGGGAAUGUGAAGCAGCAGGAAAAAUCGCAGCCCUCAGAGAGUCGCUGGCUGAAGUAUCUAGAAAAGGACUCCCAAGAACUGGAGCUGGAAGGAACAGGAGUGUGUUUCAGCAAACAGCCUUCAUCCAAAAUGGAGGAGCCAGGCCCCCACUUCAGUCAAGACCUGCCUAG